GUCUGGGUGGCAGAGACAGGUUAAAAUGCAAAAGACCUAAGCUCUUUCUCACAGAGGUUCAAAUCCUCUCCCAAACC
rnacentral:tRNA from 1 species